rnacentral:lncRNA from 1 species
CAGUUCUUCAAAAUGUCUGUAUAGGUAUUCCCAUUUCAGUCCCUGGGUCAUGAGCCAAACAGAGGUGAUGAGAUGAAGUUUUGUGAGCUCUAUAAUUAACAGAUGGUCUUCUGAGCAGCAGAAGUGAACCAGCCUGCUUUCCUGUGGAUCUAUGCCAUAUUUGGAUUCUUUUCUAAGAAGGAGGGAAUUCUUUCUCCAGUCUUUUGCUUACAAAAGGCUGUAUUCAGGGACUGAUGGUAGCAGACUUUCCAGAGUGUCCUUUCAUCCUGGCUUCCAUUAUGACACAGAAACUCAGGACUUGUCUAGCUUGGAUGAUUGUUUCAUUUCCUCGUUGAAAAGGUGAUUACCCCUUUAGUUCUCAUAAUUACCUAAUCAGCAAAAAUCAAAUCAAUCAAUGUUAAUUUCAACCCUAAUAAAUAUUCUCUGCUAUUCUAUACA